rnacentral:tRNA from 1 species
GUCUGUGUAACUCAGUGGUAGAGUGUGAGAUUGCAACGUCGGUGUAAAUAAACACAAAUAAACAAUCUUGAAGCCGCGUGUUCGAACCACGCCACGGACU